rnacentral:rRNA from 1 species
AGUGAACGCUGGCGGUAGGCCUAACACAUGCAAGUCGAACGGCAGCACAGUAAGAGCUUGCUCUUACGGGUGGCGAGUGGCGGACGGGUGAGGAAUACAUCGGAAUCUACUUUUUCGUGGGGGAUAACGUAGGGAAACUUACGCUAAUACCGCAUACGACCUACGGGUUAAAGCAUGGGAUCUUCGGACCUUGCCUGCUUGACUGAACCGAUGUCGGAUUUGCUAGCUGGCGGGGUAAAGACCCACCAAGGCGACGAUCCGUAGCUGGUCUGAGAGGAUGAUCAGCCACACUGGAACUGAGACACGGUCCAGACUCCUACGGGAGGCAGCAGUGGGGAAUAUUGGACAAUGGGCGCAAGCCUGAUCCAGCCAUACCGCGUGGGUGAAGAAGGCCUUCGGGUUGUAAAGCCCUUUUGUUGGGAAAGAAAAGCAGCAGGUUAAUACCCCGCUGUUCUGACGGUACCCAAAGAAUAAGCACCGGCUAACUUCGUG